UACGUAGGGUGCAAGCGUUUGUCCGGAAUUAUUGGGCGUAAAGAGCUCGUAGGCGGUUCGGCAAGUCGGAUGUGAAAUCUCCACGCUUAACGUGGAGGGGCCAUUCGAAACUGCUGUGACUCGAGUCCGGUAGGGGAGUGUGGAAUUCCCGGUGUAGCGGUGAAAUGCGCAGAUAUCGGGAGGAACACCAGUGGCGAAGGCGGCCCUCUGGGCCGGGCCUGACGGCUGAGACGCGAGGGCGUGGGGAGCGAAGCGGG
rnacentral:rRNA from 1 species